CUUCUAGUGCACACACAAACUUCACACUCCUAGGUGCUGACGUGGUGACAGUUUGAAUCUCAAAGGAAUCCCCUUCAGAAACCCAACACCCUUUGGGAAAGCAUUUGGAAGGGAGCCAAUUCGUUAGAUAUGGGGAGCAUAAGGACACCAGGGUUAGCUAGAACAUCUAGAGAAGGGAUUAAUUGGGUUGGGGCACUACCUGGCAGGGAGAGAGCUGUGCAUUAGGAAAGGAUCAUCUCAAGAGAGAUGAAAACAAAACAAAACAAAAACAAAAACAAAAACAAAAAAAAUAAAACCUUGGGGGUGGGGGUAGAGAGGAAGAAAAGAAUCAGAAACUGAAAGAGGGAGAGAGAAGAAGAAAAACACAAAGGAGGGAGAAAAAGAAAAAAAGAAAUAGAAAGACGGAGAAACAAGGAGAAAGGAACCCACAAUCACACAGACCCUGGAACUCAAUUUCUUAAAAUCCAAAAUGCAUCAGUUUAUACCCAAUGCAGCACAGGAGCCACGGGGCACAAAAUGCGGGAGCGGGCGGAGAGAGAGCACUGCAGUAGAACCCACCGCUCAGCUGCCCCGGAUCCGCCUUCCUCCCAUUUUCGCCGUUGCCCUCUGGUGCCCGGAGCAGGAGGGCGGCCGGCAUUGCUCAGCGCACCCUAGUGCCUCCCUCCAGGCGCCUUCUCGCCUGGCUCCGGGGAUCGUUUUCGGAGCGAGGGAAGGGUUGGGGGGCUGUGGUAGGGAGGUCGUGGGAAGGAUGGGCGGAGGGCGGAGGCAGCGAAAGCGAUUUUGUUUCGCAGUUAGCAUGAGCUCAUCUCUGGGCUCUGAAGUGGCAGGAGUAGAAAGCUGAUCGCCCAGCUCCUGCCAGUGGCCGGACUGCAAAUGCAAUUUAGACGGUGCAAACACUUGCCCAGAGCAAAUCACCCGGGGGUCACGUCUGCGGGUGGCCUCUCCCCACUUGGGGAGCGUCCCCGCGCCUUCCGCCCCAAAGCCCUCGCGGAGACAGGCUACAGGUCGGGGGAUCCAACCCGAGACAGAUGGGCAAUUGACAUCCACGCAUUGCUUCUUGUAAAUGGGGCCAUAAAUCCAGGAUGUCAAGCCGGAUGGAGUGGAGCGCGGACAGGGGAGAGAUGGAAGGGAAAUGAACCAAGCAGGGAAGGUACCUCCUCGGGUGGGGUGGGAGGGAUUCGCAGGAUCUCCAGGGUGAAACUGCGAGAAGGCUGACCUGACCCCGCACCCCUGGAGUCCAAGCCAGCUUUUAGGAUUAAGAGCGCGGGGAGCUAAAGCGCGCUCUGCCCCGGAGGGAGCGCCUCCCUACCUGGAAGAGCCUCAGGAUGUUGGCUACCAUGAUGGAGACCGAACUCCCUGAAGCCCCAAUCACUCCAACUACUUUCUCCGGCUUGACGAAAACCGGAGGCUCGCCGUUGGUGCAGCGCACGUCGGAGGUGUCCUUCUGGAUGAGCGCCUGGACGAAAGUGAGCGACUGUUCGAGCGCGAGAAAUCUUCUAAAAUAAAGCACCCAAGAAGCAAGUUUGAUCUUACCCUGAGCAGAGAACCAAAAGCCAGUUUGCUACAUAACCCAGAGUGGAGCAGAAUGAGCUGGGUAGAGAGAUGGCAAUUCUUUCAGAAAUUGCAACAGUGAUAAAGAUGCCAGGAAGAAGUGAAGUGACAUUUCACUGAAACAUCAAUAUAUUUUGAAAGUCAGUGGCUACAUAAGCUAAGUAUCUAUGUUGAUUUCAAGUCUCUCCUCUCCCAGUUUUGCAGCUGAGGAAAUUAAGGCUCAGAAUCAGUAAGUGUGUUUUGGAAAAUCAUUUAAUAAUCAAGCCAUACCUUCUUACCCUCAAUCCAGUGUUGUACCUGCAGUAAAAUGUGCUGAUCCAAAUUAACUAUGCUGUUAGUUUUAUAUCUAUCUGAUAGACUUCAUCUUUAAAUCCAUUCUUUUCGAUAGACUCUCUUUUAAUCUCCCUUCCUGUAAAUUCAAAACCAAAAAUAAUUGUGACCAAAAUAUGGCACCAUGUUUGAUUUGAUUAUU